rnacentral:rRNA from 1 species
AUUGAACGCUGGCGGCAGGCUUAACACAUGCAAGUCGAGCGGGGUGAUGGUGCUUGCACUAUCACUUAGCGGCGGACGGGUGAGUAAUGCUUAGGAAUCUGCCUAUUAGUGGGGGACAACAUCUCGAAAGGGAUGCUAAUACCGCAUACGUCCUACGGGAGAAAGCAGGGGAUCACUUGUGACCUUGCACUAAUAGAUGAGCCUAAGUCGGAUUAGCUAGUUGGUGGGGUAAAGGCCUACCAAGGCGACGAUCUGUAGCGGGUCUGAGAGGAUGGUCCGCCACACUGGGAAUGAGACACGGCCCAGACUCCUACGGGAGGCAGCAGCGGGGAAUAUUGGACAAUGGGGGGAACCCUGAUCCAGCCAUGCCGCGUGUGUGAAGAAGGCCUUAUGGUUGUAAAGCACUUUAAGCGAGGAGGAGGCUCUUUUGGUUAAUACCCAAGAUGAGUGGACGUUACUCGCAGAAUAAGCACCGGCUAACUCUGUGCCAGCAGCCGCCGCCG